rnacentral:misc_RNA from 1 species
GUGAAUCAUCGAAUUUUUGAACGCAAAUUGCACUCUCCUCGGAGAGGAUGACUGUUUGAGGGUCAGGCUAUAAAAUAUCGACAUCGUUGCUGUUUCGCGGUAGCGUUCGUCGGCAAUUGGGUCAUCUUAAAUCCUUUUGAUUUAUGCGACUUAAAAUAUUCACUUGGUUUCAUGAAUUUUUCUAAGAU